GAUCAUGGCUCAGGACGAACGCUGGCGGCGUGCCUAACACAUGCAAGUCGAGCGAGGAGAUUCCUUCGGGAUGAUCCUAGCGGCGGACGGGUGAGUAACACGUGGGCAACCUGCCUCAUAGAGAGGAAUAGCCUUCCGAAAGGGAGAUUAAUACCUCAUAACAUUGCAGUUUCGCAUGGAACAGCAAUUAAAGGAGUAAUCCGCUAUGAGAUGGGCCCGCGGCGCAUUAGCUAGUUGGUGAGGUAACGGCUCACCAAGGCGACGAUGCGUAGCCGACCUGAGAGGGUGAUCGGCCACAUUGGGACUGAGACACGGCCCAGACUCCUACGGGAGGCAGCAGUGGGGAAUAUUGCACAAUGGGGGAAACCCUGAUGCAGCAACGCCGCGUGAGUGAUGACGGCCUUCGGGUUGUAAAGCUCUGUCUUCAGGGACGAUAAUGACGGUACCUGAGGAGGAAGCCACGGCUAACUACGUGCCAGCCGCCGC
rnacentral:rRNA from 1 species